rnacentral:rRNA from 1 species
UACAGAGGUCUCAAGCGUUGUUCGGAUUCAUUGGGCGUAAAGGGUGCGUAGGUGGCGCCGUAAGUCAGGUGUGAAAUUUCGGAGCUUAACUCCGAAACUGCAUUUGAUACUGCGGUGCUUGAGGACUGGAGAGAAGACUGGAAUUUACGGUGUAGCAGUGAAAUGCGUAGAGAUCGUAAGGAAGACCAGUGGCGAAGGCGGAUCUCUGGACAGCUACUGACACUGAGGCACGAAGGCCAGGGGAGCAAACGGG